rnacentral:rRNA from 1 species
AUUGAACGCUGGCGGCAGGCCUAACACAUGCAAGUCGAGCGAGCGGCGGACGGGUGAGUAAUGUAUGGGAAACUGCCCGAUGGAGGGGGAUAACUACUGGAAACGGUAGCUAAUACCGCAUACCAUCCGAUGAGCCCAGAUGGGAUUAGCUAGUAGGUGGGGUAACGGCUCACCUAGGCGACGAUCCCUAGCUGGUAUGAGAGGAUGACCAGCCACACUGUGACUGAGACACGGUCCAGACUCCUACGGGAGGCAGCAGUGGGGAAUAUUGCACAAUGGGCGCAAGCCUGAUGCAGCCAUGCCGCGUGUGUGAAGAAGGCCUUAGGGUUGUAAAGCACUUUCAGCGGGGAGGCGUUACCGGCAGAAGAAGCACCGGCUAACUCCGUGCCAGCAGCCGCGGUAAUUC